AUGGCCACCGGGAUGGCACCAGCUCCGCUCUCGCACGUCAAGGUCCGCGGCGGAGGCAUCGGCUUUACCAAGAGCGUCGACUUCGCCAAGGUCCUCUCCGUCCCGGGUGCGCUGAGGACGGGGUCCUCCAGAGGCAGGGCCCUCGUGGUGAGGAGCUCAAGUACAGAGUCUGAUACUAUGGAGCUCGAGCCGGCCUCCGAAGGAAGCCCGCUUCUUGUUCCCAGGCAGAAGUACUGCGAAUCUAUUCACCAAACAAGGAGGAGAAAAACACGCACUGUGAUGGUCGGGAACGUGGCACUUGGCAGUGAUCACCCCAUAAGGAUACAGACUAUGACUACCUCAGAUACCAAGGAUGUUGCCAAGACCGUGGAAGAGGUGAUGAGGAUAGCAGAUAAAGGCGCUGAUUUUGUUAGAAUAACCGUCCAGGGUAAAAAGGAGGCUGAUGCCUGCUUUGAGAUUAAGAACACUCUUGUCCAGAAGAAUUACAACAUCCCUCUUGUGGCUGAUAUUCAUUUUGCGCCCCCAGUAGCUUUAAGAGUGGCCGAAUGCUUUGACAAAAUCCGUGUUAACCCAGGAAACUUCGCCGAUCGCCGUGCCCAAUUUGAGAAGCUGGAAUAUACUGAAGACGAUUACGAAAAGGAGCUUGAACAUAUUGAGAAGGUCUUUUCUCCAUUGGUUGAGAAAUGCAAGAAGUAUGGAAGAGCCAUGCGUAUUGGAACAAAUCAUGGUAGUCUUUCUGACCGGAUAAUGAGCUACUAUGGUGAUUCUCCAAGGGGAAUGGUUGAGUCUGCUUUGGAAUUUGCUAGGAUCUGUCGGAAUUUGGACUUCCAUAACUUUGUAUUUUCAAUGAAAGCAAGUAACCCUGUUGUCAUGGUCCAAGCAUAUCGCCUGCUUGUGGCGGAAAUGUAUAACCUUGGAUGGGAUUAUCCUUUGCACUUGGGAGUUACCGAAGCUGGUGAGGGUGAAGAUGGGAGGAUGAAGUCUGCUAUUGGCAUCGGAACACUUUUGAUGGAUGGCUUGGGUGAUACAAUCCGUGUAUCCCUCACAGAACCACCAGAGGAAGAAAUUGAUCCUUGCAGGAGACUCGCAAAUCUUGGAACUCAGGCUGCAAACCUACAAAUAGGGGUGGCCCCAUUUGAAGAAAAACAUAGGCGUUAUUUUGAUUUCCAGCGUAGAAGUGGCCAGUUGCCUUUGCAGAAGGAGGGUGAGGCAGUAGAUUACAGAGGUGUCCUUCAUCGUGAUGGCUCUGUUCUGAUGUCAGUUUCCUUAGAUCAGUUGAAGGCUCCUGAGCUCCUUUAUAGGUCUCUUGCUGCGAAGCUUGUGGUUGGCAUGCCUUUCAAGGAUUUGGCAACUGUAGAUUCAAUUCUUUUGAGAGAACUGCCCCCUAUAGAAGAUGCUGAAGCAAGACUUGCACUCAAAAGAUUAGUUGACAUCAGCAUGGGCGUGUUGACUCCCUUAUCAGAGCAAUUAACAAAGCCACUCCCACAUGCAAUUGUGCUUGUCACCCUCGAUGAACUAUCAAGUGAUGCAAAGAAGCUUUUGCCAGAAGGCACUAGAUUUGCUGUCACUCUUCGUGGAGAUGAAUCAUAUGAGCAGCUAGAUGUUCUUAAGAGUGUUGAUAAUAUAACGAUGUUGUUACAUAAUGUUCCAUAUGGUGAAGAGAAGACUGGUAGAGUACAUGCUGCUAGGAGGCUGUUUGAGUACUUAGAGACCAGUGGUUUGAACUUUCCUGUGAUCCAUCACAUUGAUUUCCCUAAAAGCAUCGAUAGAGAUGGUCUUGUUAUUGGUGCUGGGAGCAAUGUUGGUGCUCUUCUAGUUGAUGGUCUGGGUGAUGGUGUGCUUCUUGAAGCUGGUAACCAGGAGUUUGAAUUCUUGAGGGAUACAUCCUUCAACUUGCUACAGGGUUGCCGGAUGCGCAACACAAAAACUGAAUAUGUCUCUUGUCCUUCUUGUGGGCGAACGCUCUUCGACCUCCAAGAAAUCAGUGCUCAGAUUAGAGAGAAGACCUCUCAUUUGCCUGGCGUCUCUAUUGCUAUUAUGGGUUGCAUUGUUAAUGGGCCAGGAGAGAUGGCUGAUGCCGACUUUGGAUAUGUUGGAGGUGCCCCUGGAAAGAUCGACCUUUAUGUUGGGAAGACUGUUGUGCAACGGGGAAUUGCAAUGGAGGGUGCCACUGAAGCCUUGAUUCAGCUAAUCAAGGACCAUGGCCGUUGGGUGGAUCCUCCUACUGAGGAGUAG
rnacentral:rRNA from 1 species